UUGUGUUUCUGUGUGUUUGCAUGAGUUCAUGGUGACUCACGCAGUUACAAGAAUUGGAGCGGUGCUUGAAAGGUUUGCAUAGAGAGCUCAGAGAGAGUCAGAUGAGAGGGGCUGAGCUCUCAGUGGCAGAUCCGUCUCAUAUCUCCUUUGCUGCUUAAUGUGUUCACACACAUUCAGGAUCGGCUCUGCGUCAUGGUGAAACAGGGGGUGGACCACUGGCAUCAGGGUCACGAGGAGAUAGUGUCUCUCUCCAGCUGUAAUAUGGUCCUUUUCCACUAGUUCCCAGUUGGCACAGCUUGACUUGUUUAGGGGGAUUCCCUUACAACUGAAUCGGCUCAAGUGGGUGGGCCCCAGAGACAGGCAAAGUAGUACAGUGCUCUCUGUACCAGACACAAACACAAACACAAUAAUGGAGGACAUGGUAGUGAUGUUGAACAUUUGAGAGGGACCUGGAUGGGAAAUUCUGCUCAGUCUGGCUUUUUGUCAGACUCCAUAGAAAGAUCUAGAAAAUGCUGAAAGCAGAGAUACAGAGCAAUCUCUGACCCCACCCUUCAAACAAUUAGGGACUUCACCCCAUAGCAGAUCAGUGACUUGGAUCCACAUGGAAAUUAGUACUAUAAAGGGGGCGGAAACCUGGUGCCUAUUACCAGUGGAAAUGCCCUGGAACCACGCUGAGCCAAGUGGAGCUGCGCUGCGUGGAUACUGGAGGAAAAUGGCCAAUAGAGUAAGAGGCGGGGGACACCAUAGACAGGUCACCAGUCCAUCACAGGGACACACGCAAGUCACACACUCACUCUCUCCUCGGGAGUGAACAUGACUUGAAUGUUUUUGGUCUGUGGGAAGAACCCGAAGAAAUCAACACAUGCAUGGGGAGAACAUGAUUGUUUUUAUUUUCAUUGUUGCACAACACUGUCUCUCUUUGCAUGGCAUCUUCUCCAGUCCCAUGUUCCUUAAAACCCCUCCCUGUGAGGAUACUCUCUCACAUUGAGGAGUUUUAGGGGCAGCAGUAGCUCGGGAGGUAGAGCGGGUUGCCUCAUGAUCGGAGGGUCAUGGGUUCAAUUCCAGCUCCAGCCAGGGGUAUUCUGCUGUUGUGUCCUUGGGAAAGACACCUCACCCAGCUUGCCUGUGUUAGUAGUGGUCAGAGCCACCAAAUGGCGGCCUCGCCUCUGUCAGACCGCCCCAGGGUGGCUGGGCUACAAAGUACCUUACCAUCACUAGCACUGUGUGAAUGUGAGAGUGCAUGCAAGCAUCUUUGGGUGUCCUAAACAAGCGCUGUAUUUUGAUGUAUUAUUAUUAUUAGCUUUGAUGAAGAAGUGGAGCUGGGACCUCAUAUCCUUCUCCUCCCUUUACCCAACACUGACUGGCUGACUCACUGUUGCUUUAGUUAAUGAAAUGGAGUGAACAUCCUGGAGGAGGAUGACUACUAUGGGAUUUGGAUUCCAUAUGGGGAAGUGUCAGACCUCAGCUCGCCCUCUGCUGUUCAUUUGUGGAAUCAUUCUAGAGAAGAGCAAAUUCAACUUUUACACAACAACUGAGCUGCACGCUCACACAAUGAGAUCAUCCUUUUAAUGCUCUCUAUUUGCAUCGGACAGCAGGUUUUAUUGUGUAAAGAACUGCACUCAGAAACUGAUUUCAUUUGGUAGCGUAGAUGUUUGUACCCAGUCUCUAGCACCAUAUGAAAUCAGUGUUCUGGGAGGUGGACUACCAGCAUGAACAGAUGCUGUACAUGAACAAACUAACCCAUAUCCUUAAAUCACUGUAGAUAAAGAAGGCUUCACCUUUCUGCUUCAGUCUGAGUUUAUUUAGGUUUAUCAGAUUAAUAUAAGCAUGUUUCAGCUCUCUUGGUCAUUCUUAGAUUUGUUACUGUCAGGGUUUGGUGUUUUAACUUUGACUGUUCUGCAUUAUAUUAUUCACACAUUUUUCUGAUACUUGUUGUCUUCUUUACUCUUUUUUCCACUAUUAUCUCAUAAAUAAGUUUUUGUCAUAAUUAAGAUUAACAAACUCAGUUUAAUGAAAGUGUCUUGUUCUUGAUCAAUCUUGCUGUUCCUUAACCAAAUAAAUAAACCUAAUUAUCACAUUGAGUAUAAAUCAGCAA